rnacentral:rRNA from 1 species
GACGAACGCUGGCGGCGUGCUUAACACAUGCAAGUCGAACGGAAAGGCCCUGCUUUUGUGGGGUGCUCGAGUGGCGAACGGGUGAGUAACACGUGAGUAACCUGCCCUUGACUUUGGGAUAACUUCAGGAAACUGGGGCUAAUACCGUAUAGGAUCUCCUGCUGCAUGGUGGGCGUUGGAACGUUUCGGCUGUUGGGGAUGGACUCGCGGCUUAUCAGCUUGUUGGUGGGGUAGUGGCUUACCAAGGCUUUGACGGGUAGCCGGCAUGAGAGGGUGACCGGCCACAUUGGGACUGAGAUACGGACCAGACUCCUACGGGAGGCAGUAGUGGGGAAUAUUGCACAAUGGGCGGAAGCCUGAUGCAGCGACGCCGCGUGCGGGAUGACGGCCUUCGGGUUGUAAAACGCUUUAGCCUGUGACGAAGCGUGAGUGACGGUAAUGGGUAAAGAAGCACCGGCUAACUACGUG